AUUGAACGCUGGCGGCAGGCCUAACACAUGCAAGUCGAGCGAGCGGCGGACGGGUGAGUAAUGUCUGGGAAACUGCCUGAUGGAGGGGGAUAACUACUGGAAACGGUAGCUAAUACCGCAUACCAUCAGAUGUGCCCAUAUGGGAUUAGCUAGUAGGUUAGGUAACGGCUGACCUAGGCGACGAUCCCUAGCUGGUCUGAGAGGAUGACCAGCCACACUGGGACUGAGACACGGGCCAGACUCCUACGGGAGGCAGCAGUGGGUACUAUUGCACAAUGGGCGCAAGCCUGAUGAAGCCAUGCCGCGUGUGUGAAGAAGGCCUUAGGGUUGUAAAGCACUUUCAGCGGGGAGGCGUUGCCCACAGAAGAAGCACCGGCUAACUCCGUGCCAGCGGCCGCGGUAAUAC
rnacentral:rRNA from 1 species